GGAUGUGAGACCAAUCUGGCUGCAAUAUCUGUCACCCCAUUGACCACCAGGUUUGAUUCAGCUGAUCUGGCUGGCUAGGCAUGUGUGCUCUUCCUCCCUCAUGGCUCCAUGUGUGUCCCUCCCGAAGCUGUGCACUCAGUUUAAGAGGACAACCACCUCUGAUAGAGGAGGCCCAUUUCUUCAGUAAGGGUAUAUGAGUACCUGUGCUUCCCUUCUAGAACCUCCAAAUAAGCUCUCAAAGAGUAUCAAGUACUGAAAAAAAAAAAUACCUGAUGGUUGAAUGAUGGAGGAAUGUAUUAGUCACUAUCAAAAAAAU
rnacentral:snRNA from 1 species